UACGUAGGCAGCGAGCGUUGUUCGGAAUUACUGGGCGUAAAGAGUGUGUAGGUGGUGAUCUAAGUCUGUCGUGAAAUCUCCCGGCUUAACUGGGAGGGUGCGGCGGAAACUGGAUCGCUAGAGUAUGGGAGAGGUAAGCGGAAUUCCUGGUGUAGCGGUGAAAUGCGUAGAUAUCAGGAGGAACACCUGUGGUGUAGACAGCUUACUGGACCAUUACUGACGCUGAGGCACGAAAGCUAGGGGAGCAAACAGG
rnacentral:rRNA from 1 species